rnacentral:ncRNA from 1 species
GUUUUUGUUCAUGAUAUCGACAAGUGCCCCCGGUGUAGAUCUUGGUGGUAGUAGCAAAUAUUCAAAUGAGAACUUUGAAGACUGAAGUGGGGAAAGGUUCAAUGUGAACACCACUUGGACAUGGGUUAGUCGAUCCUAAGAGAUGGGGAAGCCCUGUAUCAAGGGUGCACUCUGUAUGAACAUCGAAAGGGAAUCGGGUUAAUAUUCCUGAACCGAGACAUGGUAGUGGAAGACAAUGUUAGGAAAUCCAGAGAUGUUGUCGGGGGCCCUUGGAAGAGUUAUCUUUUCUUUUAAUGGCUUGCCCACCCUAAAAUCAGUUCAACCAGAGAUAGGGUCCAGCAGCCGGAAGAACACCUCACAUAUUGCAAUGUUCGGUGCCCCCUCGAAGGCCAUUGAAAAUAUGGAGGACCGAGUAACAUCCAUGCCCGGUCAUACUCAUAACCGCAUCGGGUCUUGAAGGUGAACAACCUCUGGUCAAUAGAACAAUGUAGGUAAGGGAAGUCAGAAAAACAGAUCUGUAACUUCGGGAAAAUGAUUGGCUCUGAGGGUUGGGCCUAUGGGUUUGCAUCUUAAACCCGUGGGUAGUCAGUAGUCUACCCGAGCUGCUCUCAUGGUGAGGGUGGGCUAUCAUGUGUCGAUUUGGAUACAAACGUAUAAUGUCCCCUUGCGGGGGAUUUUCCAUAAGCGGUGAAUAUUUGACUCGGAAUUGGUACGGAGAAGGGCAAUCCGACUAUUUAAUUAAAACAAAGAAUUACGAUGGUCCCUAUGGAUGUUGAAGCAAUGUGAUUUCUUCCCUAUGCUCUGAAUGCCAAAGUGAAGAAAUUCAACCAAGCGUGGGUAAACGACGGGAGUAACUAUGACUCUAUUAAGGUAGCCAAAUUCCUCGUCAUCUAAUUACUGAUGCACAUGAAUGGAUUAAUGAGAUUCACAUUGUCCCUAUCUACUAUCUAGUGAAACCAAAACCAAGGGAAUGGGCUUGGCAUAAUUAGUGGGGAUAUCUAAGACCCUUAUAAUCAGCGA